CCUUACAGGAGGAGGACAGAGGGCAUCGACUGACUGGCUGCUGCAGUUGGUCACGAGCCCAUAUUUACAGACCUUUUUACAAGGGAAAGUACCUUCCUUUCCUGCUCGCAUUACAUUACUAACAAUCAGCGAGGAGGAAGGUGAGAGUUGCAUUCCUGCCCUGUGGACGUGAGGUCUAUGGGAGGAAAGAUCUAAUGCUUGAUUGGUUCCCAAAGCCUACAAAUGACUGGCAGUUGAACGUAUGAUGAAAUCAAGGGGAUGAAUCCAUCUGAAGUCCCGAAUGCUGUGCCAAAACCACAGUGAAACAGAGUCACAUGAGGUGGAAUGAACAUUGAGGCUUCGUCACAGGCCACAAUGACUCAGACUUAGAGGACCCACUUACUUCCACACUCACCAAUUUACCCACCCGCUAGCUCUGAGACAAACACUCAUUCUUCUCCAUACUCACAGCUAUUUCUGCACAUUCUGAGGACUUGGUUUACCGCUUCUCAAAAGUGCCACGUGUUGUACAGCAGAAGAAAGUGAAUCUUGUUUUUGAUGAGGAUACAGGUUUUAUCCCAUUCCCACACGUGAAGAGUGAGAACAACAUGAAUGUGCUAUUGGAACAGAGCCAAUAUUGGGCCUUUUUAAGCUCUUAAAGGGAAAAAUAGCCCUUGUGGUCAACCGAACUGCAAAUAUUUGCCUGGUGUGGUUUACUGUAGUCAUCACAAUUCUUUGGUGGCAAAUGUUGUAGUUUUUCCCAAUAACACUGUACAAUUUGAGAGAUAACCUUUCAUAAUAAAAAACAGAAA